AGGAAGAGUAAGGCUGGUGGCAUUGCUCGGUUGUAUACGACUUUGGUUGUAUACGACCUCGAGAAGCGUGUCAUUGCUCGUCAGAUUUGGUUGCACGACUUUUUUCGGUUUGACAUUUGGAUGUAAACAAACAAAGAAGGCAUAAACACAAAUAAAUCAGGUUCGCGAGUUAUCCGUUUCGACAAAAUAAGCGAGUUCAUCGUUUUUAACGAAAAAAGAAAAUUAAAUAAUGGAUUCUGAUACUGAACAAAAGAUUUUACGGAGUACGAGCCUCGCCUUGCGUUACUUAUUGUUGCAAAAACAAAGGCGGAAUGAAGUCAACAGUAUAUUUAAGGAUCGCAAGCUAAACGGGCAAUACUACGUGUUGUUUCCAAAACUUCAACAAGACGAACAGAAGUUUUUCGAAUAUAUGAGGAUGUCAAAAAGAACAUUUGACUACAUUUUGGGAAAGAUAGAACAUCUCAUCACAAAACAGCCCACACACGUUCCAUACAUUAGUCCAGAGGAGAGAUUAAUGGUGACUCUCAGGUAUGUGGUUUUAAAUCUUAGUUGUAAGGAUUUUUGUAAAUCUAUGGCGGUUUAUAUUAAAGUACUAGUAUCUUUGCUCAUAGUGUUAAAACGUUAUGUUACAAAGGAAAGCGUCAGAGUUCCCAUGACAUACCGAAGGUGAGCCGAACUCACCAACGAUAGAAGUUAAGGAUAGGAUGUAAGGAUAUAAGGAGAUGUUUAAGCUAGGGCAAAAUUUUGAUCGGAUUGAACGAAAGCCGAAGCCACUUUCAUUAAAUACGGAGCUUUCGGCUCCUUGCAAAAUUUAUAAAUAAUGGUACAAAACUUAGAAUCAACUCUCUUUCUACUGCGCUCUACAACCGAAUGGUAAUUGAAUUGAAUUGGUAAAUGAAGGCAUAUUUGGUAGUUUAUUAAUUUUUAAAGUUUAUAGGAACAUAUGAAUUCUGUUAAACGUAAAUAAAAACACUUAAACAAUAACGUAAUGCAAUUCAUGUUAACAAAAAAUCAUUUUUUAUAGAUAACUAUCAUCUAAACAAACUGUAACUAUUACCUUUUCCCUUAUUACCUUACUAUUACCGUAACUAUUAUUAUUUAUUAUCUUAAAUAUCUUAACAAUUAUCCUUAUAAUUACUAAAUUUCUCUUUUAGCACGCGGUGCCCAAAACGCAAAAUUUCGUCGCGUACUUCAAUUUGAUCCUCUAUCUCUAAUUUGUCCAUUAACGUAACCAAACUCAUCAUCGCGUAAUAGUUGCCAGUCUUUUGUUGUUUCGCCAUCUCGUGCCUUUCCUUUUCCAUGAGCAACAGAUUUUCUAGUAACACAGCAUCAGAAGCGCGUUUUGGCCUGCUGCCUGAUGGUUGGCUACUUGAUGUAUGCUUUUCUGCGUCUGCUGCCUUUCCAUAAUCCUGCGGCUGGUUAUAUUGGUUCUCCUCCGUCAUGAGUUCUUCCUCGAGGUUCCUCGAGGCAGCAUGCUUGUUGCAUAAUUUAUGCAUUGAUUUUAGAGAGACUGUUACAACUCCUGGUGAUUCAAAUUCAGGUUCCGUAAAUUGCAAUUCUAACGCAAGAUAUAGGGCGAAUAAUCAUGCCUCUCGUGAGGCAACAGAAAUUAGAGACAGUUUCAAGGACUAUUUUUGUAGUAGACAUGAAUAAUUUCAUAAAUGGUUUGUAAAAUAAAUAGAUUUCACAAUCUUUAGGCAAUUCGACUGCUUUAAUCGA